CGGGUCGCACCAGCAGUGGGGAAUAUUGGACAAUGGGGUAAACCCUGAUCCAGCAAUGCCGCGUGUGUGAAGAAGGCCUGCGGGUUGUAAAGCACUUUCGGUUGGGAGGACUGCUUCUAGCACUAAUAUUGUUGGAAGUUGACGUUACCUUCAGAAGAAGCACCGGCUAACUCCGUGCCAGCAGCCGCGGUAAUACGGAGGGUGCAGCGUUAAUCGGAAUUACUGGGCGUAAAGCGCGCGUAGGCGGCUAGAUCAGUCGGGUGUGAAAGCCCCGGGCUUAACCUGGGAACUGCAUCCGGUACUGGCGAGCUUGAGUACAGGAGAGGAGAGUGGAAUUCCACAUGUAGCGGUGAAAUGCGUAGAUAUGUGGAGGAACACCAAUGGCGAAGGCAGCUCUCUGGCCUGAUACUGACGCUGAGGUGCGAAAGCGUGGGGAGCAAACAGGAUUAGAUACCCCGGUAGUC
rnacentral:rRNA from 1 species